ACACCCCCCUUUGCUGGAUAACAUGAUAACAAAGAGUUUAACUCUCAUUGUUUUUUAACUUUACACUUUUGGUCUCCUGACAUCUGAGAGACUUUGUGGAGGACUAGAGAGUAGGUGGGGUGAGACACAAAGUAAUUGAGGUCAGGGCCCCGUCAUGCUGGGUACUGCUCAGAUACAAAAUCACUGAGAUCGGGGCCUCGACAGGCCAGGCGCUGCCCAGACACAGAGUCGCUGAGAUUGGGGCCCCAUCGCACCGGGCGCUGCCCAGACACAGAGUGAGAGACAUUCCUUGCCCCAUAGAUCUCACAAUCCACAAAACAGACAAAGGAAAGAUCAUUUCCCUGUUUUAGAGAUGGAGAAACUGAGGACGACCGUGGCAGCCGGCACCUGGGCAUUUGGCCCGAGCGGUCCUCAACCAGAACGGAAAGGUGCAUGACCACAGUGAAGUCUACGCCAUUGAACCUGUUGGUUCCCACUCUGUUCUGGUAGGGAUCCCGGGAUCUGACAUCAGGAAUCUGGUCAGAUCUCUGUGUGUUUUGUAAGCUGGAGUUGAAAGUGGAAAGAAAUCAAAACUCUGGUGGAAGUUGAUUAUGUCCCUUUUAAGACGGAGUCUCUGAGCUCUGCUGA